ensembl:rRNA 5S_rRNA 5S ribosomal RNA
GCCUACGACCAUAUCACCCUGAAUGCGCCCGAUCUCGUCUGAUCUCGGAAGCUAAACAUGGUCGAGCCUGAAUAGUACUUGGAUGGGAGACUGCCUGGGAAUACCAGGUGUUGUAGGCU